rnacentral:rRNA from 1 species
GAUGAACGCUGGCGGCGUGCUUAACACAUGCAAGUCGAACGAUGAACCUCACUUGUGGGGGGAUUAGUGGCGAACGGGUGAGUAACACGUGAGUAACCUUCCCUUGACUCUGGGAUAAGCCUGGGAAACCGGGUCUAAUACUGGAUACGACCUUCUGGCUCAUGCCCUUUUGUUGGAAAGCUUUUGUGGUUUUGGUUGGACUCGCGGCCUAUCAGCUUGUUGGUGGGGUAAUGGCCUACAAAGGCGCCGACGGGUAGCCGGCCUGAGAGGGUGACCGGCCAGACUGGGACUGAGAAACGGUACAGACGGCUACGGGAGGGAGCAGUGGGGAAUAUGGGAAAGUGGGCGCAAGCCUGAUGCAGCGACGGCGCGUGAGGGAUGAAGGGCUUCGGGUUGUAAACAGCGUUCAGUAGGGAAGAAGCCGGCUUUUGGGUUGGUGACGGUACCUGCAGAAGAAGCGCCGGCUAACUACGUG